UACGUAGGCAGCGAGCGUUGUUCGGAGUUACUGGGCGUAAAGGGUGUGUAGGCGGUUCUCUAAGUUUGGUGUGAAAUCUCCCGGCUCAACCGGGAGGGUGCGCCGAAAACUGGGGGACUCGAGUGCGGGAUGGGAGAGUAGAAUUCCUGGUGUAGCGGUGAAAUGCGCAGAUAUCAGGAGGAACACCGGUGGCGAAGGCGGAUCUCUGGGCCUGUUCUGACGCUGAGGCGCGAAAGCGUGGGGAGCAAACAGG
rnacentral:rRNA from 1 species